rnacentral:rRNA from 1 species
ACUCCUGCGGGAGGCAGCAGUGGGGAAUAUUGGACAAUGGGCGCAAGCCUGAUCCAGCCAUGCCGCGUGAGUGAUGAAGGCCCUAGGGUUGUAAAGCUCUUUCACCGGAGAAGAUAAUGACGGUAUCCGGAGAAGAAGCCCCGGCUAACUUCGUGCCAGCAGCCGCGGUAAUACGAAGGGGGCUAGCGUUGUUCGGAAUUACUGGGCGUAAAGCGCACGUAGGCGGAUCGAUCAGUCAGGGGUGAAAUCCCAGGGCUCAACCCUGGAACUGCCUUUGAUACUGUCGAUCUGGAGUAUGGAAGAGGUGAGUGGAAUUCCGAGUGUAGAGGUGAAAUUCGUAGAUAUUCGGAGGAACACCAGUGGCGAAGGCGGCUCACUGGUCCAUUACUGACGCUGAGGUGCGAAAGCGUGGGGAGCAAACAGGAUUAGAAACCCGUGUAGUCCCAUG